rnacentral:rRNA from 1 species
ACUCCUACGGGAGGCAGCAGUGGGGAAUUUUGGACAUGGGGGCAACCCUGAUCCAGCCAUUCCGCGUGAGUGAAGAAGGCCUUCGGGUUGUAAAGCUCUUUCAGCUGGAGUGAAACGGUGCGCUCUAACAUAGCGUGCUAAUGACGGUACCAGCAGAAGAAGCACCGGCUAACUACGUGCCAGCAGCCGCGGUAAUACGUAGGGUGCGAGCGUUAAUCGGAAUUACUGGGCGUAAAGCGUGCGCAGGCGGAUUGUUAAGCAAGAUGUGAAAUCCCCGGGCUUAACCUGGGAAUGGCAUUUUGAACUGGCAGUCUAGAGUGCGUCAGAGGGGGGUGGAAUUCCACGUGUAGCAGUGAAAUGCGUAGAGAUGUGGAGGAACACCGAUGGCGAAGGCAGCCCCCUGGGAUGACACUGACGCUCAUGUACGAAAGCGUGGGUAGCAAACAGGAUUAGAUACCCUGGUAGUC